rnacentral:rRNA from 1 species
GACGAACGCUGGCGGCGUGCUUAACACAUGCAAGUCGAACGGAAAGGCCCUGCUUUUGUGGGGUGCUCGAGUGGCGAACGGGUGAGUAACACGUGAGUAACCUGCCCUUGACUUUGGGAUAACUUCAGGAAACUGGGGCUAAUACCGGAUAGGAGCUCCUGCUGCAUGGUGGGGGUUGGAAAGUUUCGGCGGUUGGGGAUGGACUCGCGGCUUAUCAGCUUGUUGGUGGGGUAGUGGCUUACCAAGGCUUUGACGGGUAGCCGGCCUGAGAGGGUGACCGGCCGCAUUGGGGCUGAGAUACGGCCCAGACUCCUACGGGAGGCAGCAGUGGGGAAUAUUGCACAAUGGGCGGAAGCCUGAUGCAGCAACGCCGCGUGCGGGAUGACGGCCUUCGGGUUGUAAACCGCUUUCGCCUGUGACGAAGCGUGAGUGACGGUAAUGGGUAAAGAAGCACCGGCUAACUACGUG